GACAACGGUUCCGGCAUGUGCAAGGCUGGCUUCGCAGGCGACGAUGACCCCUGGGCCAUCUUCCCCUUCAUCGUGUGGCACCCCAAGCACCCGGCAUGAUGGUGGGCAUGGGUCAGAAGGACUCCCAUGUGGGUGACGAGGCCUAGAGGAAGAGAGGCAUCCUGACCCUGAAGUGCCCCAUCGAGCAUGGCAUCGUUACCAACUGGGACAACAUGGAGAAGAUCUGGCACCACACCUUCUACAAGGAGCUGUGUGUGGCUCCCGAGGAGCACCCCAUGCUGCUGACCGAGGCCCCCCUGAACUCUAAGGCCAGCCGCGAGAAGAUGACCCAGAUCAUGUUUGAGACCUUCAACACCCCAGCCAUGUACAUGGCCAUCCAGCCCGUGCUGUCCCUGUACUUCUCUGGCUGUACCACUGGUAUCGUGAUGGACUCUGGUGACGAGGUCACCCACAGUGUGCCCAUCUACGAGGGGUAUGCCAUCCCCCACGCCAUCCUGCAUCUGGACCUGGCUGGCCAGGCCCUGACUGACUACCUCAUGAAGAUCCUUACCGAGCACGGCUACAGCUUCCCCACCACGGCUGAGUGGGAUAUCGUGCGUGACAUCAAGGAGAAGCUGUGCUAUGCCGCUCUGGCCUUCGAGCAGGGGAUGGCCAUGGCGGCCUCCAGCUCCUCCCUGGAGAAGAGCUACGAGCUGCCUGACGGCCAGGUCAUCACCAUCGGCAACGAGCAGUUCUGCUGUCCUGAGGCACUCUUCUAGAUUUCCUUCCUGGGCAUGGAAUCCUGUGGCAUCCAUGAAACUACCUUCAACUCCAUUAUGAAGUGUGACGUGGACAUCCACAAAGACCUUUACGCCAACGCAGUGCUGUCUAGCGGCACCACCAUGUAGCCUAGCGUUGCCAAUAGGAUGCAGAAGGAGACCACCGCCCUGGCGCCCAGCACGAUGAAGAUCAAGAUUAUUGCUCCUCCCGAGCUCAAGCACUCUGUGUGGAUUGGCGGCUCCAUCCUGUCCUCGCUGUCCACCUUCCAGCAGAUGUGGAUCAGCAAGCAGGAGUGUGAUGAGUCUGGCUCCAUCGUCCAUCCUCCAAAUGCUUCUAG